rnacentral:rRNA from 1 species
UACCUAGGCCUCGAGCGUUAGGCGGAAUCACUGGGCUUAAAGCGUGUGUAGGCGGACUUCUAAGUACCUUGUGAAAUCCCACGGCUUACCCGUGGAACGGCUGGGUAUACUGGGAGUCUUGAGCCACCUAGGGGCGAGUGGAACAAAUGGUGGAGCGGUGAAAUGCGUAGAUAUCAUUUGGAACGCCAAUGGUGAAAACAACUCGCUGGGGGUGUGCUGACGCUGAGACACGAAAGCCAGGGGAGCGAACGGG